UUGCAUUCUUAAACCUUCUUGGUAGCUUUACUCUAAAUGCUUCCAAGAUGUGAGCGAAUGUAACUUAUCUAGGUUGCUCAGUCAAAAUAGUUUUCUGAAACUAAAAUUUACAUGUAAGUUAUUA